AUGCUGAGCCUCUUCUCACACACUAACCACUGCCCCAACUUUGGACCUUGUUCCCUCUUGAGCCCCUCUCAGCCUGUCCUUCUUUCUUUUGCAGCGGACCACCCUCCCUGCUGUUCCAGCAGAGGCCUACUUUGCAAUAUUCUUGGGGAGCAAAUCUCAGCUUCAACAGACUUUGCCUCCCAGCCUUUGAGAACAGCAGGCUUUGUGGAUGGUUACCUAGGAAGAUAAAAACACUCACUGUUGGAGGGGUUUGCAGCGAUCAAAUGCUCCAUAUUCAGAACGUGCCUGCUGUAGAGGUUUGCUCCACAGAGGUGAGCACAUCACAGUCUGACUCUGGGAACUGAGGGCGGGUGACUGACAAAUGCUCUGCUUUCUCUCUCCAUGCACGUGGCAAGCUUGAGUUAUUUUGUUUAUUAAAGCAUUUUGUGGUAAUGGCCCUCGAUGAGUCUCAGGUGUUAUUAAUAUCUCUGAAUCACUAUGCAGUUCUAUAAAUACCUUUCCCUCCUCUAGCUAUGUUAUUUUUUCCCCUUACCUUAUGAAAAUGUAAGUCAGCAACGAAAUUAUGAAUUACUGGCUCCCUUAUCCUCUGUUCUGUAAUUAAGGAAGUGCUAGGUAAGAAAGCACGUGUUGGGGAAGGUGGAUGGCAGUCAGAGCCCAUGCUGGAGGCUGCCUGCCUGCCUGCCUCCAAGGUGCCAACAAGAUAGUCAGCUGUGGAAACUCUGCAGGAGCAGAGCCAGGUACCGAAACACUAAAGGUCAUAAUCAGUCUCUGUCCAUGAGUUUUCCCUUUGUGCUUUAGUCUUGUCACAAGCCAGUUUUCCAAGCUGGCGAGCAUUUUGUUUCAGUCUGGAGCAUUUUACCUGCAUCUCUUUUUGGCUUAUCCAUAAACUCCUAUUACAGUCAACCAGCCACCCAUUCCCAUCAUCCACCGUAUCUAGUUUUUAAGUGAGUAUGUGGGCCUUCUGCAGAAUUUGGCCCUUUACACAGAUCUAACCAUUUAGAACCAAGAGAAAGAUCUUCACUGGGAAAAUCUGUCUCUCAUCCCACUGGUUUUUAAAAGAUUCUGUAUGAUGGAGGGGGAAAAUGUUAUUAGGAAGGGAAAAGCCAUAGUUUCUAAUAAAGAAACUUGGCAUUGUUUUCUUCAAUCCACAUAACGACUUCUGAUUUAGUUACUUUAGAUUCUUAGAAAGAGAGAACUGGGAGCCAUAACAGGAGACUGUGAAGAGAAGUUGUAAGCAGCCUGCUUCAGGGGCUGCCUUUAAACAUGGAAGGUUUUAGAAUUAAAUAAACAGUAGUUCAGAUAUAACUCUGCCUGCACUAGCUCUGAACAUAAGCAAAUGAAUUUAGCUUUCUAAUCCUCAGUUUUCUUAUCUGCAAAAUGGGAAUAAGAACAGUUGUCAGAUAGAGGCCAUUAAAUGACAAGGUAUGGUUGAUGCGGAUGCCUAGUAAGUGAUUGUUAGAAUAAUUACUAUUUUGUUUUUGUUUGGGUUUUUUGAGGCACAGUCUCACUCUGUUGCCCAGGCUGGAGUGCAGUGGCAUAAUCUCAGCUCACUGCAACCUCUGCCUCCUGGGUUCCAGUGAUCCUCCUGCCCCAGCCUCCUGAGUAGCUGGAUUGCAGGCACGCACCACUACACCUGGCUAAUUUUUGUAGUUUUAGUAGAGACAGGGUUUCACCGUGUUGGCCAGGCUGGUCUCAAAUUCUGGCCUCAAGUGAUCCACCUGCCUCAGCCUCCCAAAGUGCUGGGAUUACAGGCAUGAGCCACCACAUCGGCCUAUGAUAAUUAUUGUUGCCAUGAGGAGGCUUGACCUGCAGAGUCUGAGUGAAGUCUGUUUUACGUUAGGUUUGGGGAGGUUCCUCUUUCACUUUUUUGGACCACUUCAAAUGUUAUGUCCCUCCCUGCUUGACAUUUGAGGCCGUGAAUAGCAGUGCUCCUUGGGACUGCUGGAUACUGCUAACAGCAUCUGUCUCUCCCUGUGAAUCCGUUCCUUGGAGCAAACAAGGAACCCUGACACUCAGCCGCCUGGUCACUGCCAGGGAAAGUUCUAUGCUAUUUUCCUUUCCGUUUUUUAGAUUAGAAACCUAGGAAUCCUCUGUUUGUCUUGAUCAUUUUCCUCUUCCCCAUCUAAGCUGCCAUUAGUCCUAUCCCUUCUCCAUAGCUUUAGAAGCUCCCUUUGCAUCCCCUGUGGUCACCCUACUUUGGGCCUCAGCACAUCUCGCCUGGACAGCUGCAGGAGCCUCUGGUGGGCUUCCUCUGCCUCUAGUUAGGGUUGCCUCUUGCCUUUCACUGGCUUCUGGAUUCUUCAUGAUGACGGAGACCUUGCAAUGCCUCCUUAGUGCAGCAACUGUCACAGUGACAUCGCCAGGCCACCUGCUCCAGUCACCUGGGUGCUGCUUAAGCAGGUGCCUACCCAGACCCCACUCCUUCCCUACUGAAUCAGAAUCUUUGUGGCAAAGGCCCAAGCAUGUGCAUUUUAAUCAACUUUAAUCAACUUUCUCAGAUGAUCCCUAUAUUCGCUUUUUUUUUUUUUUCUCCCCGAGAUGCAGUCUCGCUCUGUAGCCCAGACUGGAGUGCAGUGGUGAGAUUUUGGCUCACUGCAACCUCCGCCUCCUGGGUUCCAGUUCAAGCAAUUCUCCUGCCUCAGCCUCCUGAGUAGCUGGGAUUACAGGAAUGCGCCACCAUGCCCAGUUAAUUUUUGUAUUUUUAGUAGGAUGGGGUUUCACCAUGUUGGUCAGGCUGGUCUUGAACUCCUGACCUCAUGAUCCGCCUGCCUCGGCCUCCCAAAGUGCAGGGAUUAUAGGCGUGAGUAUAUUCUUAUAUUACAUACUGAGUUUGAGAAUGACUGUCCUACUGCUGAACAUCUAGUCUGGCUUUGGAGGCUUUGUAAGACCUGACUCGCUCUUCAAACCCUACUGAUCUCCCCCUGAGCCCUCCGAGCAGAUGCUCUGGUUGACCUACCCAAGUCUUCUCCAGCUUCAAUCCUUCUUUUCCUACUGGCAGAGCGUGAAUUCCCACAGUUAAGGCUAAAAAUGCCAGAUACACACUUUUUCUCUUUUUUUUUUUUUUUUUUUUUUGAGACGGAGUCUUGCUCUGUGCCCCAGGCUGGAGUGCAGUAGCGCGAUCUCGGCUCACUGCAAGCUCUGCCCCCCGGGUUCACGCCUCCCCCCCCCCGAGCUGGCACGCCCCCCCCCCGCUAAUUCUUUUUUUAGACUUCCCAUUGCCAGGAUCCGCU
rnacentral:lncRNA from 1 species